rnacentral:rRNA from 1 species
UACGUAGGGGGCAAGCGUUGUUCGGAAUUACUGGGCGUAAAGCGCACGUAGGCGGACUACUAAGUCAGGGGUGAAAUCCCGGGGCUCAACCCCGGAACUGCCUUUGAUACUGAUAGUCUCGAGUCCGGAAGAGGUGAGUGGAAUUCCGAGUGUAGAGGUGAAAUUCGUAGAUAUUCGGAGGAACACCAGUGGCGAAGGCGGCUCACUGGUCCAUUACUGACGCUGAGGUGCGAAAGCGUGGGGAGCAAACAGG